rnacentral:rRNA from 1 species
UACGAGGGGGCAAGCGUUGUUCGGAAUUAUUGGGCGUAAAGGGCGCGUAGGCGGUGCGGUAAGUCACCUGUGAAACCUCUGGGCUUAACUCAGAGCCUGCAGGCGAAACUGCCGUGCUGAGUAUGGGAGAGGUGCGUGGAAUUCCCGGUGUAGCGGUGAAAUGCGUAGAUAUCGGAAGGAACACCUGUGGCGAAAGCGGCUCACUGGACCAUAACUGACGCUGAGGCGCGAAAGCUAGGGGAGCA